CAGGUGCUCUGCUCUUGCGCAUGUCUGGUCGCGUCUCCGGUGCAGUGGUGCUUCUUGAGGUGACUGGCGUGACGGCGGCUGUGUAUGGUGGUGACCACAAGCCUGGAGUAGAAGAAGAAGGUGAUUCCCUAAUGCCAGGUGGCUGACUAGGCGGUGCUCAUCAACGCCUACUGCCCCUUGCCCCCUAAAGCGCAACUACAUGUAUGCUUAUACUUCCACCAAACUCAAUAACCUCAUCGAUGGUCUGUGCUGCUGCCUCCCGCUAGUGUUGAUGUGUGUAGAGAAGCUGCCUGUGCAUUUGUUGCAGCCUGGGGCUGAAGCAGAAGCUGGUUCCUAAGUUCCAUAGCUGACUAGUGGAGCUCGGCGACAAGCUACAGAUUUGUAGAACGGAGGACCCGGCUGGGCUGUUGACGGCAACCGAGAUGAUUGCCUUCAUUCGUGUUUUGACGUGAGCUCUAGGCCGAAGUUGGAAGAAGCAAGGCAUGCAGGAUCUAGGCAUGCAUGCAUGCUGUCUUAUCCCUCCUGCUCCUAAGGAGAUGCAGGACUUUGUUCUAAUGUUGGCCUUGGAAUUUGGAUGUACUGCUGAUUUUGCUGAGAAUUUGAUGUAUAUGUCCUUGCUAACUUGUUAUUCAAAUGCUGGAAGUUAUGUACAUAUUCUUAGAAUAAUAUUGUUUACCUAAAAUGCA